CGUAACUCUGCCGAUGAGGAACGCCGUACAACGAGAAAGCGUGCAGGAACUUCUCUUUUAAAUACACGUUUGUGCAGGACACCGCUAUGCAUGUCAAUACGCUAUCGAGCUUGUCGCCGGCGUCCUUGCCGCCGCACUAAAAAAGAUGGCAUGUCACUACUCAACGUUGACCAAUUGCGAACGCGCUAUCAAAAUACAGGCUUAGUAUGGCGCCUGCGUCAGCGAACGUCUCUACUGUUUGGGGCAAUAGUCCCACUAACGCAGGUCGAAGAAAGCACGUUGCGAGGGGCCGCCAUAGCGAUGCGAGGCACGCAAGGAAAUCGCUGUGGCCCACGUCUGCAAGUAUCAGCGAAUCGGAUAAACGUCAUUUUAGGGAACAUGCUAGAGUACCUAGCAACGCAACUACCUAGAGGCUGUAGGAAUCAACACCGACGUUUGGAGGAUCAACGUGAAGCAAGGCGACAGCGGUCGCGGGAAAGCGAGGAUGGUGUUUAUAGUCGAUUACUCAGCCGCUAAGGUUGCUACCGACUUCGCAGUAACUAACCAUCAACGAGGUGUAUAGAAGUUAGGAAUGAUUAAAGCAGACGUGAGCAUCGAGAUGCGCACUAUGGAAGUUUGGUGACAAGCGAGCUAAAGUAAAAGCACUGGUUCGUUAUGAUAGCGACAUCGGUGAGAACCGCGAAGAAGAUGAGGGCAUGCCUUGUUAAAUCUACACGCUCCGGCGCUGGCUGUAUCCUUACGUUGUUGCCACUGAAAGAGUCCAUGUUGCAGAUACUACUGCGCGCGAAGAGCACUUCCGCUGUUUACUCCCUAGCCCGAAACGUGUUCGCUUUGUGGACCACAUCAUUUAUUUUAUUACCGCGCCGGCAGCCGGAACCGUAGCCGAAGUCGUGGCAACCUUUGAGACCUGCAGCAGACGGAAAAAAUGAUUCCUGUGGGAGUCAACAGCAUCGUCUACGGCCUUGAGAAUGCAGGCUUCCAACUUUAACCAUGGCUACAUCUGGAAGGAGUUUGUUGCCAAGUGACAUUCGACAUACAUACUAUCGUUGAAUCGUCCGAUAGAUAACAACAUGUAGG
rnacentral:lncRNA from 11 species